CUUUAGCCUAUCUAAACCAUAUGAUGUAAAGCUACCAGGAUUAAAAUUGUGUAUGCCAGAGGCGCGUUUUGUCCACAAAAGACUCAUCAGUGACGCUCGACUAAAAAAUGUUAAAAGGCAAAAUAAAGUUGACGAACAAUGAGGACCCAACAUUCCGAAAGUUGUUGCCAAAUACAGCUAAGGUAAUUUAUUCCUGGUAUAGCAAACCCUAAGUAUUUCAAAAAAUUCAAAGCUUUGUAAACUGUUAAAUUAUAAUUAUGACCACAUUAUGAUAUUUCAUGUGCUGACUACUGAGCUGGUGAUACCAACGGAUUUUCGAUUGAAAAUGGUUCGAAAGCGAAAUCGAAAACAACUUCAAUGGCCAAAGCCUGCACAAAACAAGACAUCCAGUCAAAACAGAAACAAUGUCCGAAAAGAGAACCAACAACUACAUCUAGAGAGCAUACUAUGUCCAGAAGAUCACUUCAGGCGGAAUCUUUUUAGGGAAAGUAUAAUUGAAAGAAGGGAUCUCAACAAAAGUUUGUUUGAAAAGGCAAGAGUAAAAGUGUCUUCUGUCUUUCCCGGGUGCAAAAUUAUCACGUGCUUCUCCAAUAUUACAUUUGAAAUAAUGCAUUUAAUACCACACUAUCCACACUUGUUACCAGAACUUAUUUUACUGAGAACAGUGGAAGAUGAUUCGAUAUUGCUUGGCAAAAUACACAGGGUUUCUGAAGUGAAUAAGAAGGUUUAUGUUCGGGAUAUUAACGACGAAGAACUGUGCUUGGAGCUACUCUGUUUGUCUGGUAUAACAAGACCGGGACGCUUCGUCGCACUCAAAAACCCAACACUUACAGUAUUUCAAGAUGGCGAGUUUGGAUUUCGUACAAAUGAAACAGGAAGUGUUCCUUAUAUUGACGUGGAUGGAGGUUACUUCAGUACUGCAUGUAUAAUUUUUGUCACAAUUAUUUGUGUUUUGAUGUUUUCAUAUUUUGUAAAAUGUUGUGGUGAAUAAAAAGUACUCAUCUCACGACAUUUGUUUCUGGAAAAAAAACAUCACUUAAUUUGUGUGUGUCUCUGUCCUGUAUGUUCUCCCGUUUAUUUGUAUUGUAGUCCUAUCCUGUAAUCUUGUCAUUUUAAUGUUAUAUUUAAGUUCAAAUUUUUGGAAACUCAUAAAAUAUAUGAUAUUUGAGAAUAGUAACAGAUUAUAAAAGGAGAACCCAAAACAUACAUCAACAUUUUUUUUCAAAUUGAUAAAAAUAUAUUUACUUUUGUAAACAUUUACGCCAAAAAUAAAGAUAGAAAUACAUUCUUCAAAAAAGCUUUAAGUGUCAUUGAAAAAUAUAAACUUGGUAUAAUUAUUAUAGGGGGAGAUAUGAAUGAAACGCUUAAUAUAAAAGUUAAAAGAAGUAAUAGAAAAGAUAAACAAAAAAUAAAAAAUAAAAAAUAAGACAAAUGCGUUGAAAAGUUUAAUAAAAAAACUAAAGGUUAUAGACAUUUGGAGAGUAAUAAAUUCAAAAAAAAAAAAAAAAAAAUUACCUUGAUAAGAAAAAAAAAUGAAGUAGCUAGUAGAAUUGAUUAUUUUCUCGUGAGUCAAGACAUGAGACCUAGGGUACUCCACACUGAUAUAAGACCCACCACAAUUCAAUAUACAAACCAUCUAGCGAUUUCACUUAAGAUAAAUCAUUGUCAGGGGGAGAAAGGAAAGGGUUAUUUCAAAUUAAACAAUAGUAUUAUUAAAGUCGAAUCAAAAUGAAGAUAAACACUUUAAUAGAUAAAUAUGAAAAAUUAAGAAACCGAAAAAGCUUAGCAAUUGUGUGGGAUCUGUUUAAAAUAGAGGUAAAGGAGACUACUAUUGAAUAUUGUAAAUUUAAAGCUGUAAAUAAACGAGAUGAAAUUAAAGAAUUAGAACAAGAACUAAAACUUUUGAAUGAAAUUCAGGAUAACAACCUUGCUGAAAAAAAAAAAAAAAUGCCGAACAUAAUAGAUUCAAUAAAGAAAACCGAAGAAAUGCUACAAACUCUAUAUUCUGAUAAAAUAAAAGGGGCACAAAUUAGAUCAAGAGUUAAGUGGAUAGAAGAAGGCGAAAAAAAUACAAAAUAUUUUUUGGGAUUAAAGAAAUCGAGACAGACAAGAAAAAAUAUUAUUGCUAUUAGAGACAGUCAAGGGGAAAUAACUGAAGGUAAAAUAUUAGAAACGGGGAGGAAUUAUUAUGUAAAUUUAUAUACUUCAACUAAGCCAGAUUUAGGAGAAAUUGAGAAAUAUAUUGAAAAUACAAAAAUAAACUGUAAACAAACUACACUCGAAAGUAAUGAAAUUGAAGGAAAGCUGACAAUAGAGGAAUGUACAAAUUCUGUUUUCAAAAUGAAACUUAACAAAACACCGGGUAUUGAUGGUCUUCCAAUUGAAUUUUAUAGAUCUUUCUGGUCCAACUUACAAUAUUUUGUUGUAGAUGUCUUUAAUCAUUGUUAUGAGAAACAAGAAUAGACAAAUUCACAGAAACUAGGAUUAAUUACCCUUAUUUACAAGAAAAAUGACCCGUUAAAAUUAGACAAUUAUAGACCAAUUACUUUAUUAAAUGUAGAUACCAAAAUUAAAGCAUAUUCUCUUGCACAAAGACUUAAACCAGUAUUGCAUAAAAUCAUUCACAGUGAUCAAAACGGGUAUGUAAAAAAAAGAUAUAUUGGGUUUAAUAUUAGACAAAUCCAAGAUAUUAUAGACUAUUCAGAAAAAUUCAACGUAGACUUUUUUUAGAUUUUUCAAAGGCAUUUGACUCAUAAGAAUUGGAAUUUAUGUAUUGUUCAUUAAAGAAAUUUGGCUUUCAGAAAUCUUUACUGAAGUGGAUAAAUACUUUAUAUACAUAUAUAAAGGGUUGCAUAUUAAAUAAUGGGUGGAUUUCAAUACCCUUCCGCAUUGAGCGCGGGAUCCGUCAAGGGUGUCCCGCGAGUUCUAUAAUUUUCGUUUUUGCUGUUGAAAUUCUAGCCUGUAGAUUAAGAAAAGAUAAAAAUUUUUUAAAGGUUUUCAAAUCAAACUAGAUAAUAAAACCCAUACUCUAAAGUUAAGCCGGCUUGCAGAUGACACCACUUUAUUUUAAAAUUCAAAACAAGAAGUUUCAUUAACUUUGAACAAUAUCGAAAUUUUCGGAUCACUUUCAGGCUUAAAGCUUAAUCGAAAUAAAACAGAGGGGAUAUGGCUCGGAAAUUUAAAGUCCUUUAAAGACAUUAAGUGGACACAAGAACCGAUAAAAGUAUUAGGAAUAUAUUUUCAACAUAAUAAAAAUGAGUGUAAAAAAUUAAACUUGCAAAAACAAUACGAAAAAUCGGAAAAAAUAAUUAAAGAUUGGAAUAAAAGAAAAUUAACUAUGUUAGGUAAAAUAACUCUUGUUAAAUCACUAAUCCUACCAAAUAUUACCUAUGUUGCAUCACUAACAGAAAUUGAUAAGAAUACCUCGCAAAAUUUAAAAAAAUAAUAUAUAGUUUUAUAUGGAAUAGUUCAAAGAGCUAUAAUAAGUAAAAAAAUUUAUGCUGGCGGGCUUAUAAUGAUAGACAUAGAUAAAUAUAUACAAUCCAUUAAUAUUAUUUAGAUAAAAAGACUCAUUGAUAAUGAAGACUCAUCACCCAAUUGGAAAGUCUUACCAAAAUUUUACCUAGACAAAUUUGGACAAGAAUUCCUUAUAUUUAAAAUGGACUUUAACAAUAUUAAUUUGAUUAAUAAACUUAAUUGUUCCAGAAUUUUACUUAAAAAUAAUCAUAUCAUGGAUAAAUUCAAAAUCUGAAAAAGAAUCAGAUCGACUAACAUAUAAACAUAUCAGACAGCAACUAAUAUGGGACAAUAAGCAUAUCAAAUUAAAAGAUAAAUAUCUUAUUUUCAAAUAUUGGAUAGACAGUAAAAUUUUAUUUGUAAAUGACAUAAUUGAUGAUAAAGGAAAAAUUGAUCAAAAUAAGAUUUUAGUUAAACUAUCUUAAUUUGCCAUGCUAAUUGGUUUUCGGAAUAUACUAAAUUGAUGAAAGCAAUACCAAAACAGUGGUUUCAAGAGCAAAUAAAAGAAGAAUCAGUUAAAACAAAAGUCGCUACCGACUCCGAAUUUAAAUUCAUAGAUAGAGAAGGAUAAAUGAUACCAAUAAAAGCAUUUUCCUCAAAAGAUAUCUACAUCUCCCUUUUAAAAAGAUAUUAUGAGAAAGCAAUAGGAUUUCAAAAAUGGGACAGAAUUCUUAAUUUAGAUAACAAUACAAGGAAAAGAGAACAAAUGUUGUACUUUAUCUUUAACUUUAUCCAAGAUAAUAAAUUGAGAAUGUUAAGAUGGAAAUUUCUACAUUGCAUUUUGCCAACCAAACAAUUACUUUUCUCUUGGAAAAUAACUAAAACU